AAUAACUGAAAAUUGCAAGAAGAAGUUAUUAGGGAUACGAAGAUUAUGGGGAAUUUAUUUGAUAAACAGGGGGGAAUGUCAGAAAAAUUCUGUGUAAAUUAUCAAAUAAAACCUUGUAUUACAUUGUGUUCCUGACGAGAAGAAAAAAGGCUGGAGCUUUCCAAGAAGAAUGCUGGACUUCCAGGCGGACAGAUAGCAGAAUCUGCCCAACUUCCAGAGAAACUCUUUUAAGUAUUUUUACGAACCCUCUUUGAUCUAUUUUAUGGGACUCUCUGUGAUCUAUUUUAUGGGAUUUUCUUUGAUCUGUUCGGGAACCGAAGGCAAUGCUGGUCAUGACCCACUUCCAUGAGGAAGCAGCUGUGGGAAGGAGGGGGGUGAAAAUCAAAUAAAGAACCACGAGAACGAUCUUGGGGCAGAGCAUGGUGCAGGAUUUGUACAGGCAGUACAAUGGCCAUGCCUCUCCUCGGAUCCGAGUAUAAAUUUAAUUCUGUCUCUGUUUGAUUCUUUGCCUUUUUGUCCUGUUUAAUAGAUGUCAUCAAUGUUUGAACCUGACAGAUGGAGGUCUCGCAACUACGGACACUCUCCCUCCUGACUGAUCCACACUUCCUCCUCUUCCUCUUUAAUGUGGGGGGGCUGUGGAUCCUCCUGCUGCUGAAGGGGACGUUCUUCUUGACGAGCGUUCAUCUGUUGGACGUCCGCAAGACAACACAAACAAACUUCAGCUCAGAUGUGUCAAAUGUUUUUUAGACCAUCAAAUAUAAUAUUUUCCAAGUGGACUGACACCACUUUGUGGUGAUGUUCUUCUACACAUGGAAUAAUCAUCAGUUAUUGAUUAUUAUGAAUUGUGUUAUUGAUCCUGUUUUCUGCAUUUACAUUAAUUACUGAUUAAAAAGUAACAACUUAAAGAAAA